GAAUCAACGCUGGCGGCGUGCCUAACACAUGCAAGUCGAACGAGAAAGUGGGGCUUGCUCCACGAGUAAAGUGGCAAACGGGUGAGUAACACGUGAACAACCUACCCUCGAGUGGGGAAUAACACCGCGAAAGCGGUGCUAAUACCGCAUAAUAUCCCGGGGUCGCAUGGUCCUGGGAUCAAAAGCGCAAGUUGCUUGAGGAGGGGUUCACGGCUGAUUAGCUAGUUGGUGAGGUAACGGCCCACCAAGGCAACGAUCAGUAGCCGGCCUGAGAGGGCGAACGGCCACACUGGAACUGAGACACGGUCCAGACUCCUACGGGAGACAGCAGUGGGGAAUUUUGCGCAAUGGGCGAAAGCCUGACGCAGCAACGCCGCGUGGAGGAUGAAGGCCUUCGGGUCGUAAACUCCUGUCAGUGGGGACGAAUGCCUCGCAAGAGGUUUGACUGUACCCGUUGAGGAAGCCACGGCUAACUCCGUGCCAGCAGCCGCGGUAAUACGGAGGUGGCAAGCGUUGUUCGGAAUUACUGGGCGUAAAGGGCGCGUAGGCGGCUUGGCAAGUCAGAUGUGAAAGCCCCGGGCUUAACUCGGGAAUUGCAUCUGAAACUGCUUUGCUUGAGUCCUGGAGGGGGUAGUGGAAUUCCCAGUGUAGCGGUGAAAUGCGUAGAUAUUGGGAGGAACACCUGCGGCGAAGGCGGCUACCUGGACAGUGACUGACGCUGAGGCGCGAAAGCUAGGGGAGCGAACGGGAUUAGAUACUCCGGUAGUCCUAGCCGUAAACGAUGAAUGCUAGGUGUAGGGGGUAUCGACCCCUUCUGUGCCGGAGUCAACACAAUAAGCAUUCCGCCUGGGGAGUACGGUCGCAAGAUUAAAACUCAAAGGAAUUGACGGGGGCCCGCACAAGCAGCGGAGCAUGUGGUUUAAUUCGAAGCAACGCGAAGAACCUUACCAGGUCUUGACAUCCAGUAAAACUUGUAGAGAUAUGAGGUGCCUUCGGGCAUACUGAGACAGGUGGUGCAUGGUUGUCGUCAGCUCGUGUCGUGAGAUGUUGGGUUAAGUCCCGCAACGAGCGCAACCCUUGCCGAUAGUUACUAACGGGUGAAGCCGAGGACUCUAUUGGGACCGCCGGGGACAACUCGGAGGAAGGUGGGGACGACGUCAAAUCAUCAUGCCCCUUAUGACCUGGGCUACACACGUGCUACAAUGGCCGAGACAGAGAGGAGCGAAGGCGCGAGCCGGAGCGGAUCUCAAAAAAGCGGUCACAGUUCGGAUUGUGGGCUGCAACCCGCCCGCAUGAAGCAGGAGUUGCUAGUAAUCGCGAAUCAGCAUGUCGCGGUGAAUACGUUCCCGGGCCU
rnacentral:rRNA from 1 species